AACGAACGCUGGCGGCAUGCCUAACACAUGCAAGUCGAACGAGAUCUUCGGGUCUAGUGGCGCACGGGUGCGUAACGCGUGGGAAUCUGCCCUUUGGUUCGGAAUAACAGUUGGAAACGACUGCAAAUACCGGAUGAUGACGAAGGUCCCAAGAUUUAUCGCCAGCGGAGGAGCCCGCGUAGGAUUAGCUAGUUGGUGUGGUAAAAGCGCACCAAGGCGACGGUCCUUAGCUGGUCUGAGAGGAUGAUCAGCCACACCGGGACUGAGACGCGGCCCAGACUCAUACGGGAGGCAGCAGUGGGGAAUAUUGGACAAUGGGCGAAAGCCUGAUCCAGCAAUGCCGCGUGAGUGAUGAAGGCCUUAGGGUUGUAAAGCUCUUUUACCCGGGAUGAUAAUGACAGUACCGGGAGAAUAAGCUCUGGCUAACUCCGUGCCAGCCGCCGCAGUAA
rnacentral:rRNA from 1 species